rnacentral:rRNA from 1 species
AUUGAACGCUGGCGGCAUGCUUUACACAUGCAAGUCGAACGGCAGCGCGGGGCAACCUGGCGGCGAGUGGCGAACGGGUGCGUAAUAUAUCGGAACGUACCCAAGAGUGGGGGAUAACGUAGCGAAAGUUACGCUAAUACCGCAUACGAUCUACGGAUGAAAGUGGGGGAUCGCAAGACCUCAUGCUCCUGGAGCGGCCGAUAUCUGAUUAGCUAGUUGGUGGGGUAAAGGCUCACCAAGGCGCCGAUCAGUAGCUGGUCUGAGAGGACGACCAGCCACACGGGAGCUGAGACACGGUCCAGACGCCUGCGGGAGGCAGCAGUGGGGAAUGUUGGACAAUGGGCGCGAGCAUGAUCCAGCAAGGCCGCGUGAGUGAAAAAGGCGUUCGGGUUGUAAAGCUCUUUUGUCAGGGAAGAAACGGUAGAGGCUAAUAACCUUUGCUAAUGACGGUACCUGAAGAAUAAGCACCGGCUAACUACGUG